AGGAAUCCAGUGUUCAGGCAGGGGCAAAGUAGCUUGCUACUUUUGCCGGCGAGCCGGCGGACGGGUGAGUAAUGCCUGGGAAAUUGCCCAGUCGAGGGGGAUAACAGUUGGAAACGACUGCUAAUACCGCAUACGCCCUACGGGGGAAAGCAGGGGACCUUCGGGCCUUGCGCGAUUGGAUAUGCCCAGGUGGGAUUAGCUAGUUGGUGAGGUAAUGGCUCACCAAGGCGACGAUCCCUAGCUGGUCUGAGAGGAUGAUCAGCCACACUGGAACUGAGACACGGUCCAGACUCCUACGGGAGGCAGCAGUGGGGAAUAUUGCACAAUGGGGGAAACCCUGAUGCAGCCAUGCCGCGUGUGUGAAGAAGGCCUUCGGGUUGUAAAGCACUUUCAGCGAGGAGGAAACGGUCCGGUCACGCUAAUAUCUGCUGGCUGUGACGUUACUCGCAGAAGAAGCACCGGCUAACUCCGUGCCAGCAGCCGACGGUACAUACGGAGGGUGCAAGCGUUAAUCAGGAAUUACUGGGCGUAAAGCGCACGCAGGCGGAUGGAUAAGUUAGAUGUGAAAGCCCCGGGACUCAACACUGGGAAUUGCAUUUAAAAACUGUACAGACUAGAAGUCUUGUAGACGGGGGGUAGAAUUCCAGAGUGUAGCGGUGAACACAU
rnacentral:rRNA from 1 species